AACGAACGCUGGCGGCGUGCCUAACACAUGCAAGUCGUGCGAGAAAGUUCCUUCGGGAGCGAGUAAAGCGGCGCACGGGUGAGUAACACGUAGGUAACCUGCCCCCCAGUCUGGAACAACUAGAGGAAACUCUAGCUAAUGCCGGAUGAGACCACGAUCCCUUCGGGGGUUGCGGCCAAAGAUGGCCUCUACUUGUAAGCUAUCGCUGAGGGAUGGGCCUGCGGGCCAUUAGCUUGUUGGUGAGGUAACGGCUCACCAAGGCUGUGAUGGCUAGCCGGUCUGAGAGGAUGACCAGCCACACUGGGACUGAGACACGGCCCAGACUCCUACGGGAGGCAGCAGUGGGGAAUAUUGCGCAAUGGGCGAAAGCCUGACGCAGCGACGCCGCGUGGGUGAUGAAGGCC
rnacentral:rRNA from 1 species